UACGAAGGGGGGCUAGCGUUGCUCGGAAUCACUGGGCGUAAAGGGUGCGUAGGCGGGUCUUUAAGUCAGGGGUGAAAUCCUGGAGCUCAACUCCAGAACUGCCUUUGAUACUGAAGAUCUUGAGUUCGGGAGAGGUGAGUGGAACUCCGAGUGUAGAGGUGAAAUUCGUAGAUAUUCGGAAGAACAUCAGUGGCGAAGGCGACUCACUGGCCCAUUACUGACGCUGAGGCGCGAAAGCGUGGGGAGCAAACAGG
rnacentral:rRNA from 1 species